AUAUCCGGCCCUUGCGAUCAGGGCUUGAGGAACCCGCGCCAUGAAGUGCGUGUUUGUUACCGUAGGGACCACCAGCUUUGACGACCUCAUUGCGUGUGUGUCGGCGCCCGACAGUCUGCAAGUGAGUGAGGGAGGCGAGCAGGCGGCGGCUUGGCUCGCCACCCGCCAUCUCCGGCCAUACUGCCAGCCGCGUUAGCCUUGCCUGACCGUCGCGCUCGGAAAGAAACCCCCGCAACUCUACCACAGAAAAUCGAGAGCCUUGGUUACAACCGACUUAUCCUGCAAAUUGGUAGAGGAACGGUGGUACCUGAACCCUUCAGUACUGAGUCGUUUACUCUGGAUGUUUACAGGUACAAGGAUUCCUUGAAAGAAGACAUUCAGAAAGCAGAUCUUGUUAUUAGUCACGCAGGUGCAGGAAGCUGUUUGGAGACUCUGGAAAAAGGAAAGCCACUCGUAGUGGUUAUAAACGAAAAGUUGAUGAACAAUCAUCAGCUGGAACUGGCAAAGCAGCUACACAAAGAGGGUCAUCUCUUCUAUUGUACCUGCAGCACGCUUCCUGGGCUGUUACAGUCAAUGGACUUAUCAACACUGAAAUGUUAUCCUCCUGGCCAGCCAGAAAAAUUUUCUGCAUUUUUGGAUAAAGUUGUUGGAUUACAAAAAUAAACACUAAACUCUCAACACUUUAAAAGCAACCCCCAAAUUCAACCUAUGUAAUGUGAUUAAAUCAAAUUAAAUACAUAAUAUAUAUUUACAAAAUAAUAUAAUUAAUAAACUUCCUACAUCUAUAGAAUGUAUAGGAAAUUUUAUGUUGUGCACAUUUGCAUUGGGUCCAAAUCCUAAUUGCAGUUUAGUGAAAUUACUAGAUUUUUUUCUAAUCUUCAGUAUGUAGUGAGCAUUCACAGGUUUUCUCCUAGAA
rnacentral:lncRNA from 1 species